rnacentral:misc_RNA from 1 species
UGCUCUUCCUGGUCUCUCAUUAUGUACUGCCCCAUUUUCAUGUUCGGCGAAUUUCUUGUACUUCAGAUCAACGGGAACGGACUGCAAACCAUGCCUAAGAGAAACUGACUGAUGAUUGGUUUUACGAUACUUUCCAGAACUAGGUUUGACCACAAUAACUCUUGUAGACGGAUGAGGCAUGUUUUCAUUUGGAUCAAGCUGAAAGUUUAUUUUCUUCAAGUGAUGAAUAGAACAUUCUCCAAUGUCAUCCUUAGGUGAA